UCAGGCCUAACACAUGCAAGUCGAACGGCAGCACGGGUGCUUGCACCUGGUGGCGAGUGGCGAACGGGUGAGUAAUACAUCGGAACGUACCUUAUCGUGGGGGAUAACGCAGCGAAAGCUGUGCUAAUACCGCAUACGCCCUGAGGGGGAAAGCGGGGGAUCGCAAGACCUCGCGCGAUUAGAGCGGCCGAUGCCUGAUUAGCUAGUUGGUGGGGUAAAAGCCCACCAAGGUGUCGAUCAGUAGCUGGUCUGAGAGGACGAUCAGCCACACUGGGACUGAGACACGGCCCAGACUCCUACGGGAGGCAGCAGUGGGGAAUUUUGGACAAUGGGGGCAACC
rnacentral:rRNA from 1 species